rnacentral:rRNA from 1 species
CUGUUGCCGAUGAGGGCUCUCUGAGGAAACUGCCAGCGACAAGCUGGAGGAAGGUGGGGAUGACGUCAAGUCAUCAUGGCCCUUAUGUCCAGGGCUACACACGUGCUACAAUGGCCUCUACAGAGGGUUGCAAUACCGCGAGGUGGAGCCAAUCCCUAAAAGAGGUCUCAGUUGGGAUCGGAGUCUGCAACUCGACUCCGUGAACGUGGAAUCGCUAGUAAUCGCGGAUCAGCUACGCCGCGGUGAAUACGUUCCCGGGCCUU